GAGUGGCGGUGAUUAUUGGUUUAAAAUUUUUCUUUUAAUUCAGCGAUAACAGCGAUUAAGCUGAAAUAUCUAUGUACAAGUUUCUAGAAGUUUUAACUGUUCGUGAAAGUUUUUGAGUGGAACGGAGUAAAAUGAUUUCAGCGUUUAAAUUUGGAAGAGGAAGUUCUUCACGCUCUUAAUAAUUGAAUUAAAUGAUUAUAAAGAUUUUUGGUCCAAACACUGCAGUCAUCAGAUAUAUUGUAAUACUUUACAAUACAAAUGCAGAAGCGAGUUUGUCUAUAAUGGUUUCAGUUAUAUGCGAAUUAUUUCAGCAUAAUGACUGUUCGGAGCUGGAAGCUGAAAAAUGAAAAGGCAUUGCUAAGCCUCAAUCGAGGCUGACGUGGCAUUGUACAGAUAAGUAAUUACACUCAUGACUCACUUGUAGUGCAAAUGUUUUUAAAUGUAAUUUAAUGUUGGGUUGCUGUAUUUAAAUUUUUAUUUUAUGUGAAAAUGUUUUGUGGUGAUUAAUAUAUUUAAAUUAAUUUUUA